ACAGUGGACGCGAGCAUCUUUAAUUGUUUGUGAAUGUAAGUGUGUAAGAGCACACGGUGGAUGCCUUGGCACCAAGAGCCGAUGAAGGACGUAGGAGGCUGCGAUAAGCCUCGGGGAGCUGCCAACCGAGCUGUGAUCCGAGGGUGUCCGAAUGGGGGAACCCAGCGCGCGUGAUGGCGUGUUACCCACAUCUGAAUACAUAGGGUGUGUGGAGGGAACGCGGGGAAGUGAAACAUCUCAGUACCCGCAGGAAGAGAAAACAAUAGUGAUUCCGUCAGUAGCGGCGAGCGAACGCGGAAGAGGCUAAACCGCAUGCGUGUGAUACCCGGCAGGGGUUGCGUGUGUGGUGUUGUGGGGCAUGAUGUCCUGGUUCUGCCGGAUCAGGCGCUUGAUAGUCCGCGGGUUAGGGGAACGACUUGGAAGGGUCGGCCGUAGAGGGUGAGAGUCCCGUACCUGAAAGCUUUGUGGCUGGGCGAUUUGUGUUCCCAAGUAGCAGCGGGCCCGUGAAAUCUGCUGUGAAUCUGCCGGGACCACCCGGUAAGCCUAAAUACUCCUUGGUGACCGAUAGCGGAUUAGUACCGUGAGGGAAUGGUGAAAAGUACCCCGGGAGGGGAGUGAAAUAGUACCUGAAACCGUGUGCUUACAAUCCGUCAGAGGCUUUCGGGCUGAUGGCGUGCCUUUUGAAGAAUGAGCCUGCGAGUUAGUGGUAUGUCGCGAGGUUAACCCGUGUGGGGAAGCCGUAGCGAAAGCGAGUCCUAAUAGGGCGAGUGAGUGGCAUGCUCUAGACCCGAAGCGGAGUGAUCUACCCAUGGCCAGUGUGAAGCGACGGUAAGACGUCGUGGAGGCGCGAACCCACUUAGGUUGAAAACUGAGGGGAUGAGUUGUGGGUAGGGGUGAAAGGCCAAUCAAACUCCGUGAUAGCUGGUUCUCCCCGAAAUGCAUUUAGGUGCAGCGUCGCAUGUUUCACCUCGGAGGUAGAGCUACUGGAUGGCCGAUGGGCCCUACAAGGUUACUGACGUCAGCCAAACUCCGAAUGCCGAGGUGUGAGAGUGCGGCAGUGAGACUGUGGGGGAUAAGCUUCAUAGUCGAGAGGGAAACAGCCCAGAUCGCCGGCUAAGGCCCCUAAGCGUGUACUAAGUGGAAAAGGAUGUGGGAUCGCUGAGACAGCCAGGAGGUUGGCUUAGAAGCAGCCACCCUUGAAAGAGUGCGUAAUAGCUCACUGGUCAAGUGGUCCUGCGCCGACAAUUUAGCGGGGCUCAAGUACACCGCCGAAGCCGCGGCACUCACACAAUAACCUCCUCCGGGCAGGUGUGUGGGUGGGUAGGGGAGCGUCGUGUGGCCAUAGAAGCGUCGGAGUGAUCCAGGCGUGGAGGCCACACGAGUGAGAAUGCAGGCAUGAGUAGCGAAUGACGAGUGAGAAACUCGUCCGCCGAAUGAUCAAGGGUUCCUGGGUCAAGCUAAUCUGCCCAGGGUGAGUCGGGACCUAAGGCGAGGCCGACAGGCGUAGUCGAUGGACAACGGGUUGAUAUUCCCGUACCCGUGUAUGCGCGCCCAUGGUGAAUCAGUGAUACUAACCGCCCUGAAUGGCCUGGAGCAUCCUUCGGGAUGACGUGGUCUGGAUGCGCGGGACCUGAUCUGGUAGUAGCCAAGCGAUGGGGUGACGCAGGAAGGUAGCUGGGCCAGUCAGUGGUUGUACUGGUGUAAGAGUGUAGGCCGUGACAUAGGCAAAUCCGUGUCACAUGAAGGCUGAGACUUGAUGCGUACCCGUUGUGGGGAAUUCAGUGAUCCUAUGCUGCCGAGAAAAGCCUCUAGUGAGUUCAUACACGGCCCGUACCCCAAACCGACACAGGUGAUCAGGUAGAGAAUACCAAGGCGAUCGAGAGAACUGUGGUUAAGGAACUCGGCAAAAUACCCCCGUAACUUCGGGAGAAGGGGGGCCAUGCCCGGUGAACACCUUCACGGUGGGAGCUGGGUGUGGUCGCAGAGACCAGAGAGAAGCGACUGUUUACUAAAAACACAGGUCCGUGCGAAGACGUAAGUCGAUGUAUACGGACUGACGCCUGCCCGGUGCUGGAAGGUUAAGAGGACCGGUUAGCCGCAAGGCGAAGCUGAGAAUUUAAGCCCCAGUAAACGGCGGUGGUAACUAUAACCAUCCUAAGGUAGCGAAAUUCCUUGUCGGGUAAGUUCCGACCUGCACGAAUGGCGUAACGACUUCUCUGCUGUCUCGACCACAGACUCGGCGAAAUUGCAUUACGAGUAAAGAUGCUCGUUACGCGCGGCAGGACGAAAAGACCCCGGGACCUUUACUAUAGCUUGGUAUUGGCGUUCGAUUCGGUUUGUGUAGGAUAGGUGGGAGACUGUGAAGCAUGCACGCCAGUGUGUGUGGAGUCGUUGUUGAAAUACCACUCUGAUCGUAUUGGACGUCUAACCUCGGCCCAUGAUCUGGGUUAGGGACAGUGCCUGGUGGGUAGUUUAACUGGGGCGGUUGCCUCCCAAAGAGUAACGGAGGCGCCCAAAGGUUCCCUCAGCCUGGAUGGCAAUCAGGUGUUGAGUGCAAGUGCACAAGGGAGCUUGACUGUGAGACUGACACGUCGAGCAGGGACGAAAGUCGGGACUAGUGAUCCGGCACCGGCAAGUGGAAGCGGUGUCGCUCAACGGAUAAAAGGUACCCCGGGGAUAACAGGCUGAUCUUCCCCAAGAGUCCAUAUCGACGGGAUGGUUUGGCACCUCGAUGUCGGCUCGUCGCAUCCUGGGGCUGGAGUAGGUCCCAAGGGUUGGGCUGUUCGCCCAUUAAAGCGGCACGCGAGCUGGGUUUAGAACGUCGUGAGACAGUUCGGUCUCUAUCCGCCGCGCGCGUAAGAAACUUGAGGAAGGCUGUCCCUAGUACGAGAGGACCGGGACGGACGAACCUCUGGUGUGCCAGUUGUUCCACCAGGAGCAUCGCUGGUUAGCUACGUUCGGAAGGGAUAACCGCUGAAAGCAUCUAAGCGGGAAGCCUG
rnacentral:rRNA from 1 species